rnacentral:rRNA from 1 species
GACGAACGCUGGCGGCGUGCUUAACACAUGCAAGUCGAACGGAGUGGCGAACGGGUGAGUAACACGUGGGUGACCUGCCCUGCACUUCGGGAUAAGCCUGGGAAACUGGGUCUAAUACCGGAUAGUGUGGGAGGGGCCCGGGGCCUAGCAGAUUGUUGGUGGGGUAAUGGCCUACCAAGGCGGCGACGGGUCGCCGGCCUGGGAGGGUGGACGGCCACCUGGGGCCUACGACACGGCCCAGACUGCUACGGGAGGAAGCAGUGGGGAAUAGUGCACAAUGGGCGGAAGCAUGAUGCAGCGACGCCGGGGGGGGGAUGACGGUCUUCGGGUUGGAAACUCCUUUCACCAUCGACGCGGUAGAUGGAGAAGAAGCACCGGCUAACUACGUGCCAGCAGCCGCGGUAAUAC